GUUUAUUCAAGAAAAAAUGUCACGGGGUCGUGCAUUACCCAAAACCGAGAAGAUUGGAAUAGGUGUGUUCCCGGGAUUGCAGAAGAUUAACACGUACAUACAGAAUGAAUGAUUCCUUGACUCUAUUCAUUUCUAUUUUAAUACUUCAUAAAAUAUCUGAUAUGCAUCUAUAGAAUUAUACUGUUACUAUGCUUUCAGUAGACAAUAAAAAGAAAUAAAAAUAUACACAUUCGCAUACAAUUAUGUUCUUCCAGAUAAUAUCCAAAUAUUUCAAAUCAGUCUGGGGUACUGUAUUCAACCAGUCAAUAUGAAUUCAUUUGAAUUAUUUUCGUAUGCUUUCGACCAUUCAACCAAUGUGUUAUGGCACCGCAAUGAUUCAGAUAUAUCACAUAACUUUAAUAACGGACUUUCUGAUGUCAUGACAACUGAAUCUAAAAUUCUCCACAUUUCUAACAUUCUUAUGGCUUGUCGAACCAGGCCAUCUUCUGAAGAAAUGAUUCGACUGAUAUCAUAGUAACUGAUGUUUAGCUUUUCUGCAAUAAUUUUCCAAUCUCUUGCAAUGAUAUAUGCCAUUUUUUCUAUUUUUCAUUUGUAAAAUAUCC
rnacentral:lncRNA from 1 species